UUUUUAAUUAACUGAUCAUCUUUCUAUUUCAGGACUCCAAGUGAUUAAAUAGACGUUCAACACUUGGUAGUUACAAACACGCGACCACUACUCUUGAUAUUUCUACCAGACUCAUUGAUACAUAAUAACAAAAAUUAGUGGCAUGACCUGUAUGGACCAGAUCAACCUCAAAUCUAGAACAAAAAGAUCCAACUUAUUUCUUAAACAAUAUUAACAAAACAAGAAAUAAAUAUCAAGUCAAUACGAAACCCCGAAUUUGAAUUAAUUCCCAACAUUUCCUCCCAUUACUUCAACAAGGGGUUCAACUCCCAUCAUGGAUCUGAAUUUUGCAAAUUUGGCUUCAAGUAAUGCUUUAGUGAGAAUGUCUACUGGUUGAUUUUCUGUGCUGAUGUACUGUAGCUCUACAAUUUCUUUUUGUCACUAACUCUUGAAUGAAAUGAUGCUUCGUCUCAGUGUGCUUUGUUCUUCCUUGUUGAACUAGAUUUUUGGAUAAUGUAAUUGUCGACUUGUCUCAAAAAUCACUGUUGCUCCACCAUUAUCUUACUUCAGAUCCUUCAAAAUUCUUCUUAGCCAAACAACUUGACAAGCUGUGGUUGUUGCAGCUGCAUACUUUGCUUCUGUGCUUGAAAGACCAGUGCUAUGUUGCUUUUUUGAGGACCAUGAAAUUGCACCAUAUCCCAAGCUAAGCAUAUAACCAUUAGUGCUCUUUAUAUCAUUUGGACAAGAAGCCCAAUCACUGUUAGUAAAAACAAUGAGUUAAUUUGAGUUACUUCUUAAAUACCUGACGCCAAAAUUUGAAGUUCCCUGAACAUAACGAAGACUUCUCUUAGUUGCACCCAAAUGAACCUUGCUUGGACUAUGGAUGAAUCUAGAAAUAACUCACAUCAUAUGUAAUAUCAGGCAUUGUAUUAGAGAUACAUUAGGUUACCUACAAUACUUCUGAAAUUGUUCUCAUCAACCUUCUCAACCCCGUCACUUAAAGUCAGCUUCUUAUUUGCAUUCAGUGGAGUCUUAACACACUUGCAAUUCCCCAUUCUAGCUUUUUUUAAUAAGUCAGCUGCAUAUUUUUUCUGACAAAUAAAAAUACCAUGUGAAUUUUGCACUACUUCGAUUCCUAAAAAAUAAUUUAAUGAACCCAAGUUACACAUAUCAAAAGUUUGCAUCAUGGACUUUUUAAAU
rnacentral:lncRNA from 1 species